UGGGGAAUAUUGGACAAUGGGCGAAAGCCUGAUCCAGCAAUGCCGCGUGUGUGAAGAAGGCCUGCGGGUUGUAAAGCACUUUUAUCGGGGAAGAAUAGGUUGUCGCUAAUACCGCCAACACUUGACAUUACCCGUUGAAUAAGCACCGGCUAACUCCGUGCCAGCAGCCGCGGUAAUACGGAGGGUGCGAGCGUUAAUCGGAAUUACUGGGCGUAAAGCGUGCGUAGGCGGAAGCUUAAGUCUGAUGUGAAAGCCCCGGGCUUAACCUGGGAAUUGCAUUGGAAACUGGGUUUCUAGAGUGUGGUAGAGGAUAGUGGAAUUUCCAGUGUAGCGGUGAAAUGCGUAGAUAUUGGAAAGAACACCGAUGGCGAAGGCAGCUGUCUGGGCCAACACUGACGCUGAGGUACGAAAGCGUGGGGAGCAAACA
rnacentral:rRNA from 1 species